GUUUCCGCCGUUUAGCAACACCCCCUUUUUUCACCCUCCUUGGCAGCCGUCUGGGAUCAUAAUGAAUCAGCUACAAACUGAAGUAUCCAGGUUGUCCAGAAAAACAAAACUUUAUGCAAAAAGCUCAUAAUGUUGCCAACUGCACUCACUUCGGCAUAUGUCCUGCACUCUGCAAGAGGAGACACAAAUUUCCUGAAUUUGAUUCAUUACACAAAUAUUCAGCUGUACAAUGUACAGUUAUCCAAACGUAGCAGCGAUGAUAUCAAUGGCGUUCGUAGAAGUGAAAAUCCCUGGGAAAACCAGAUACCUGUCAGCUAUGAUAUCAUAUAUUAUAUAUGAGUUCUAAAAGUUCAGCGCAAGUGCCAAAAUUAAUUGGUUUUUUUUAUUCAAGAAAACCUAGAGAUAUUGAAAAUUAUUGCAAUUUAUACUAAUAAAUGUUUUAAACUGUGAAAGCUAAUGCCUAUAAAUAAAGUACAGAUAUGUUGUUAUUUAACCUGGGAUAGAACAUUCUGUUUAAAAUGUUAAUUUUAGAUCGGAAAACAGAAAGAUAAUAUUCUUAUCAAAAGAAUUUAAUAUAUGAAAUAUGUAAUAUGCACAUUGAUCUAAACAGGCGAACCAGUCUA